rnacentral:lncRNA from 1 species
UCGCAUUGAUUGUGCCAGUCAAACUACACACCAGUCAACUGCCUGCACGGCAGUGCAAUUGGGCCAAAGUUGAAAUUAUCUUGCCAUAUCAUCAACUGCAAGUGUCACACCACUCUCUAGAGGGGAAUAUCAAUGUCGUGAAGUUGCUAAAACAGGAGAUCACCUGUAUACACACAGAGGCCAAAACUGGAGAGAACACCCAUUUAACUUGUGAAAGGCCACUUCUUCCCGUAAAACAUAAGAGUAUAAG